GUAGGUGAACCUGCGGAAGGAUCAUUAACGAGUAACUGAACAGGUUGUAGCUGGCCUCUAGGGGCAUGUGCACGCCUGGCUCAUCCACUCUUCAACCUCUGUGCACCUGUUGUAGGUCGGUGGAAGGGCAAAGUAUAAGUGAGGUCUCAGGACUUUGCUUACUCUCUGCUUGGAAGCCUUCCUAUGUUCUAUUACAAACGCUUCAGUUUAAGAAUGUAAUCUCUGCGUAUAACGCAUCUAUAUACAACUUUCAGCAACGGAUCUCUUGGCUCUC
rnacentral:misc_RNA from 1 species